rnacentral:piRNA from 1 species
UUGAAGUCAGUGUUUGCUUAGGAGAUUUCA